rnacentral:rRNA from 1 species
GACGAACGCUGGCGGCGUGCUUAACACAUGCAAGUCGAACGGAAAGGCCCUGCUUUUGUGGGGUGCUCGAGUGGCGAACGGGUGAGUAACACGUGAGUAACCUGCCCUUGACUUUGGGAUAACUUCAGGAAACUGGGGCUAAUACCGGAUAGGAGCUCCUGCUGCAUGGUGGGGGUUGGAAAGUUUCGGCGGUAGGGGAUGGACUCGCGGCUUAUCAGCUUGUUGGUGGGGUAGUGGCUUACCAAGGCUUUGACGGGUAGCCGGCCUGAGAGGGUGACCGGGGACAUUGGGACUGAGGGACGGCCCAGACUCCUACGGGAGGCAACGGUGGGGAAUAUUACACAAUGAGCGGGAGCGUGAUGCAGCAGCGCCGCGUGCGGAAUGACCGCCUUCGGGUUGUGAACCGCUUUCGCCUGUGACGAAGCGUGAGUGACGGUAAUGGGUAAAGAAGCACCGGCUAACUACGUG